rnacentral:lncRNA from 1 species
CACGCUUAGAAGGUUCUCACUAUAGUAUGAUGUUAUGAAGUUUGACACCUCCUCACGAAUGAAUGCCUCUGCUAUAGAAGCCUCAAUCCUGUCUUUGUUUCCACAUUUCUGGUGAAUAGUCUUUAGACAUCUCUCGAUUGGAUAGCACCAACGGUUCUGCACGGGCCCUCCCAAUCGUGCCUCAUUCGAGAGGUGCAAAAUCAAAUGCUGCAUCAACAAGAAAAAGCCAGGU